UACGUAGGGGGCAAGCGUUGUCCGGAUUUAUUGGGCGUAAAGAGCGUGUAGGCGGCCAUACAGGUCAGCUGUGAAAACUCGAGGCUCAACCUCGAGACGUCGGUUGAAACCGUAUGGCUAGAGUCCGGAAGAGGAGAGUGGAAUUCCCGGUGUAGCGGUGAAAUGCGCAGAUAUCGGGAAGAACACCCGUGGCGAAGGCGGCUUCCUGGCCUGUUCUUGACGCUGAGGCGCGAAAGCUAGGGUAGCAAACGGG
rnacentral:rRNA from 1 species